rnacentral:lncRNA from 1 species
CUCUUCACAGGGAACAGGGCAAGGACAGCUGGGACCUUGGAGAGGAGGGGCCUGAGCACACAACAGACAUCGUGAAAUCAAGAAACGCAAAACAGCCAUGAUAGAUGCUGGUCCGUCCCGGUGCGCAGGCACCCGCAUAAAUUACCCUAUUAAUAAGUCGCUUACUCUCCUGGUGCAGGCAAGGGCUGGGUCCCCGGGAAUUCACCCGCCCUGGCCUGGAGAGGUGGGCCUGGUUAAUUUCAGCGUCUGGUUUUAGGUGAACAGGUCAAGACCGCUCAGAGGGCCGUAGUCCACGCCACAAGGCCCUGUGUCACACCAAUUCUGAUUCCAUGAAGUGUCCAGAACCAGCAAGUCCACAGGGACAGCAAGGAGCUGACAGGGGCAGUGGGGAGACUCUGAUGGGCUCCUUUCGGGGUGGUGGAAGUUCUGGAAUGAGUGGCAAUGGUUGCGCGAUGUUGUGAAUGUGCUGAAGGCCGCGGGGCAUCCCUUUCAGAUGGGAGCAUGUGCAGUGUGUAAAUUCUAUCUCAGCGAAGGUCAGCCAGCAGGUGCCCUGAGAUCCUGGCAUUCUCGUGACCAGGCUGCAGGGGGCUGGCAUUUUUUUCUGUUCUGUAUUUAAAAAGAUUGCACAGGCGUGAUCUCCAGAACAAGGCUGGAGGAGGAAACCCAUUCCUCGGUAAAGCCCCUCCCUCGCUCCCGGCCAGCGUCCCUGGUGUCCCGACGUCUGCGCUCAGAAGGCUGCAUGCUCCGCCACUGCUGUCCCAGAAUUCUUCAUUUUUGAGCAAGAAGCCCAACGUUCUUAUUUUGCGUGGUACUCUAAAAUUUCUGAGCUGGUCCUGCCCCCCCAUACGGAGGGGGUCGGGGCAAUAAUGAUUAACCUAGUGCCACCUUCCUGGUAGACCCAGAGUGAAGCCCACCAGGCUCCCUGCCCCACCAACCCCCAACCAGGCAAAGGGGCAGCCUGGGCACUGGGCAGGGCUAGCAGGGCUGAUCUGCAGGCCUCGGACACCAGGCCCCACCCAAGACACCAGCCCCUGGGACCUGCCACCGCCUGCACUCGGCUGAGCUGCCCCAGCUGUGCGGGGCUCCACGCGCUGGGGAAGGAAGGACGUUCAAAGGGGAAACGUGGACACAGACACGCACGGGAGAGGCGUGGAAAGGUGAGAAGAUGAAGGCAGAGGCCAAGUGAUGGUUUCUCGAGCCAAGGAACACCAGGAUCGCAGCAAACCUCCAGCACCCAGGUCUCCCACUUCCGGCUCCAGCACAGUGACACUGAAUUUCUGUUGUCAAAGCCCAGUCUGCGGCCCUGUGUUGGGUGGUCCGAGGACCCCACCGUCCCUCCCACCGCAAGCUGCGUGUCAGUGUACUUGCAGUGCCUUGACACGGCCGUGCUGAGUGAGCGUGAAUGAGCCUCCCUGUGUGUGAGCGACGCUGCCCAGGGAACGCGGCACCGCGGCUUCCUCAGGCCCCUCACCUCCCACCCCGCUGCGUGGCCACCCAGCCGCCCCUCUCGGCUUCCAGGGUCCCUGCAGGGACUUGGCACACAGAGCUAGGCGGCAGCUGAGCCGCAUCCUUCCUGCUCCUGCCCCGGGCCAGCCUAGUGAGGGUCCUUCCCCCAGGGCGGCAGCUGCCCAACACUCUCAAGACACACCGGCCCGGAACGUUCCUUCCAGAGCCCACAGAGCACAGAGCUCUUGCCGUGAGGAAGGCCGGGUGCAGCAGGAGACAGCGGCCCACACACAUGGCUGCAGACACACAUUUCCUCCUGCACACGGGGAGCAAACAGCUUCCGGAAGCUCCCGGGCCGGGCGGCCAGCAUUUGCUCAGAGACAGGAGGAGCCUGGCAUAAGCAUGGCUCAGGAAGGCGGCUUUGCUGGCGCAAUCAUCCUUAAAGCACAUGCCCGUCCCACGCUGACAGCUUAAAUCCUGUGAUCUUCACAGAGGUGAAUGUGAAGUCAGCAUCUCUCGCCGGGGUGUGGGCAGAGCCAGCCCGGACGCAGCACGGCCUCUUCCUCCAAAUCCCGCAGGAUCCCAGAGCCCGUGACCAUCUGAGCACUGGGCGGGGACCUGAUUCAGCAGGCAGGGGCGUCUGGGGCUUAGGAGCCUGGCUUUCCCCGGGAUUCGCUGCCUCCACCAUCAAAGUAGCUCAAAUGGUUAUUGGGUUUGGGGAUUUUUUUGUUUUUUUGUUUUUUCCUAUCUAAAAAAUAACAAAAGUCUCUCCAAGGUCA